AAUUCGAUGCAACGCGAAGAACCUUACCUGGUCUUGACAUCCCGGAGACCCUUAGGAAACUAGGGGGUGGCUUCCAUCUGGAAGAAUCUGGAGACAGGUGCUGCAUGGCUGUCGUCAGCUCGUGUCGUGAGAUGUUGGGUUAAGUCCCGCAACGAGCGCAACCCUUGCCUUUAGUUGCCAGCAGUUCGGCUGGGCACUCUAAAGGGACGUGCCGGUGUUAAACCGGAGGAAGGUGGGGAGUGACGUCAAGUCCUCAUGGCCUUUAUGACCAGGGCGUACACACGUACUACAAUGGCCGAUACAAAGGGCAGCGACACUGCGAGGGUGAAGCCAAUCCCGUAAAAUCGGUCUCAGUCCGGAUUGGAGUCUGCAACUCGACUCCAUGAAGUUGGAAUCGCUAGUAAUCGUGGAUCAGCAUGCCACGGUGAAUACGUUCCCGGGCCUU
rnacentral:rRNA from 1 species